CUGACAAAGAACCACAGCUGCAGGGAGGACUUGGAGAACAACUUGGAGAACAACUUGAUCACCUCCCUCUUCGGGUCCCACAGCCAUCGCAAGCACACCAACGCCCUAGAGAGAGAAAGCAUUUAAAAUGAUACAACAAUCGCACACCAUGUCUCACAGCACACUAAUCCUACACCGCUACACCAGACUUUGUUCCUUAAAACUUAUGUUUUUAAAGAAGAAGAAGAAAAAGAAAAAAGAAGAAGGAGGAGGAGGAGGAGGAGGAGGAG